GACGAACGCUGGCGGCGUGCUUAACACAUGCAAGUCGAACGGAAAGGCCCUUCGGGGUACUCGAGUGGCGAACGGGUGAGUAACACGUGGGUGAUCUGCCCUGCACUUUGGGAUAAGCCUGGGAAACUGGGUCUAAUACCGAAUACACCCUGCUGGUCGCAUGGCCUGGUGGGGGAAAGCUUUUGCGGUGUGGGAUGGGCCCGCGGCCUAUCAGCUUGUUGGUGGGGUGAUGGCCUACCAAGGCGUCGACGGGUAGCCGGCCUGAGAGGGUGUCCGGCCACACUGGGACUGAGAUACGGCCCAGACUCCUACGGGAGGCAGCAGUGGGGAAUAUUGCACAAUGGGCGCAAGCCUGAUGCAGCGACGCCGCGUGGGGGAUGACGGCCUUCGGGUUGUAAACCUCUUUCAAUAGGGACGAAGCGCGAGUGACGGUACCUAUAGAAGAAGCACCGGCCAACUACGUGCCAGCAGCCGCGGUAAUACGUAGGGUGCGAGCGUUGUCCGGAAUUACUGGGCGUAAAGAGCUUGUAGGUGGUUUGUCGCGUUGUUCGUGAAAUCUCACGGCUUAACUGUGAGCGUGCGGGCGAUACGGGCAGACUAGAGUACUGCAGGGGAGACUGGAAUUCCUGGUGUAGCGGUGGAAUGCGCAGAUAUCAGGAGGAACACCGGUGGCGAAGGCGGGUCUCUGGGCAGUAACUGACGCUGAGAAGCGAAAGCGUGGGGAGCGAACAGGAUUAGAUACCCUGGUAGUCCACGCCGUAAACGGUGGGUACUAGGUGUGGGUUUCCUUCCUUGGGAUCCGUGCCGUAGCUAACGCAUUAAGUACCCCGCCUGGGGAGUACGGCCGCAAGGCUAAAACUCAAAGGAAUUGACGGGGGCCCGCACAAGCGGCGGAGCAUGUGGAUUAAUUCGAUGCAACGCGAAGAACCUUACCUGGGCUUGACAUGCACUAGAAAGCCGUAGAGAUACGGCCCCCCUUGUGGUUGGUGUGCAGGUGGUGCAUGGCUGUCGUCAGCUCGUGUCGUGAGAUGUUGGGUUAAGUCCCGCAACGAGCGCAACCCUUGUCUCAUGUUGCCAGCACGUAAUGGUGGGGACUCGUGAGAGACUGCCGGGGUCAACUCGGAGGAAGGUGGGGAUGACGUCAAGUCAUCAUGCCCCUUAUGUCCAGGGCUUCACACAUGCUACAAUGGCCGGUACAAAGGGCUGCGAUGCCGUGAGGUGGAGCGAAUCCUUGUAAAGCCGGUCUCAGUUCGGAUCGGGGUCUGCAACUCGACCCCGUGAAGUCGGAGUCGCUAGUAAUCGCAGAUCAGCAACGCUGCGGUGAAUACGUUCCCGGGCCC
rnacentral:rRNA from 1 species